rnacentral:rRNA from 1 species
GACGUAGGGCGCGAGCGUUGUCCGGAUUUAUUGGGCGUAAAGAGCUCGUAGGCGCUUGUCGCGUCGAAUGUGAAAUCUCAGGGCUCAACUCUGACAUUGCAUUCGAUACGGGCAGGCUAGAUGUCGGUAGGGGAGACUGGAAUUCCUGGUGUAGCGGUGAAAUGCGCAGAUAUCAGGAGGAACACCAACGGCGAAGGCAGCUCUCUGGGACGUAACUGACGCUGAGACGCGAAAAGCGUGGGGAGCAAACAGG